ACUAUCGAUAAUAUAUACAAAUAAACUCAUCAUGCGCAAGACGCAGGUCUUAUCCUAGUAGUAUAACUAAAGCAAUAAUUUUCCCACCAAAAAAGCUAAAAAUUUAACUAAAUAAUUUUAGAAGUAGAAAUUGUUACAGAAAAAAAGGAAUACUUCCAAAACACUGCUGUUAAAAUAUGCAAUUGAAUUAUUUCAUGCUCAACGAAGAGAAGAUGACGUGUGUCCCUUUGAACCCAAGUUCCUUAAACUCGCAUCAUCUAUAUAUAAAUAACACAACCUCUUCUCCUUCUCCACUCCCAUCCUCUUACCUUCACUUUCCUCUCAAGUCUCUUUAUCAUUUUUCAUUUUUAGUAACAAGAAAAAAAGAAAGUAGAGAAGAAUCUGUAAAGCUCAGGAGGGAUAGCGCCAUCAUAUAUAAUCUCAUUCACAUCGAUAUUUUUGGCGCUGUCCAUCCUGAGUUUCAUUGGCUCUCCUUACUGCAGUGAAAAAGGCUUUCACAGAUACAUCAACAACUUCAAAAAUCAAUAUCAAUUUUGUUUAGAGUUUCACUUUAGCUCUUUUAAUAUCACCACCACCUUUUUCUUGCUUUCUUCCUUUUUCUCUUUGAUCAAAGAAAAUUAGUCUCUUUCUCCGGUGAAGUCAGCCACCAACAGGUAUUCGAGAAGUAAAUAAUGUCAAAGGAUGGAUAGGUCUUCUUCUGUAUAUUUUGCUGGGACCGCAAGUCAUGUGAGGCUGCUCUCUGCCUGAUGCUGAACGGCGUCGCAACACUAUAAUAUUUAAUUGUUAUAACGAAACGCUCUGCACAUUUGCCCAAUAUACGAUGUAAAAGGCUGGUUUCAGUUCUCUGGCUUACUCGUGUACUUUAUAAUUCUUAGGCCUAGUAAAUCCAACUCUGCUAAAUAACACUCAUUCUUUGAAGAUAGUGUAUUUCGUGAAAA